GAUGAACGCUGGCGGCGUGCCUAAUACAUGCAAGUCGAGCGAACGGACGAGAAGCUUGCUUUUCUGAUGUUAGCGGCGGACGGGUGAGUAACACGUGGAUAACCUACCUAUAAGACUGGGAUAACUUCGGGAAACCGGAGCUAAUACCGGAUAAUAUUUUGAACCGCAUGGUUCAAAAGUGAAAGACGGUCUUGCUGUCACUUAUAGAUGGAUCCGCGCUGCAUUAGCUAGUUGGUAAGGUAACGGCUUACCAAGGCAACGAUGCAUAGCCGACCUGAGAGGGUGAUCGGCCACAAUGGAACUGAGACACGGUCCAGACUCCUACGGGAGGCAGCAGUAGGGAAUCUUCCGCAAUGGGCGAAAGCCUGACGGAGCAACGCCGCGUGAGUGAUGAAGGUCUUCGGAUCGUAAAACUCUGUUAUUAGGGAAGAACAUAUGUGUAAGUAACUGUGCACAUCUUGACGGUACCUAAUCAGAAAGCCACGGCUAACUACGU
rnacentral:rRNA from 1 species